GAUGAACGCUGGCGGCGUGCCUAAUACAUGCAAGUAGAACGCUGAAGGAGGAGCUUGCUCUUCUGGAUGAGUUGCGAACGGGUGAGUAACGCGUAGGUAACCUGCCUGGUAGCGGGGGAUAACUAUUGGAAACGAUAGCUAAUACCGCAUGACAACAGUUAUUGCAUGAUAACUGUUUAAAAGGGGCAACUGCUCCACUACCAGAUGGACCUGCGUUGUAUUAGCUAGUUGGUGAGGUAACGGCUCACCAAGGCGACGAUACAUAGCCGACCUGAGAGGGUGAUCGGCCACACUGGGACGGAGACACGGCCCAGACGCCUACGGGAGGCAGCAGUAGGGAAUCGUCGGCAAUGGACGGAAGUCUGACCGAGCAACGCCGCGGGAGUGAAGAAGGUUGUCGGAUCGUAAAGCUCGGUUGUAAGAGAAGAACGAGUGUGAGAGUGGAAAGUUCACACUGUGACGGUAGCUUAGCAGAAAGGGACGGCUAACUACGUG
rnacentral:rRNA from 1 species